CUAUGAUGUGGACUCGGUUUGUUCCCGGUAUGUCUUUCAGUGUGGUGUUAGGUGCCCUGAGCAGACUUGGUGGUGGUGGUCCUACGGUCGGUCCUGGGUACAUGCAGUGGCUAUACCGAUUUUCUCAUCCUCGUGUGUUCUCCAGUUGUGUCAUCGCAUGAGAGUCGCACACUGCCAGAGAGAACUAACACGGAUUACUGGAUGGGUCGGUCCAUGGAGGUCAUCAACAGGACACUGGAGGAGUAACCGAGCUUGUCGCAGGAUACAAGAGUAAUGGCUGAGGCGCUAUGAGCUCACUGGAGGGCGAUGAUGGGGUUGUAAACUUGAUGUUUUUUUGUAUUUAUUCGUCAUGUACUUUAAGGACUGAACAACUGUUUUUGUUUUGUUGUUGAAACUUUGUUUUGUUAAGUUAAUUUCUUUACGAAUUACAUUUCUA